AACGAGAAGAGAUGAGAAGCUUGCUUCUUAUCGAUUCGAGUGGCAAACGGGUGAGUAACGCGUAAGCAACCUGCCCUCUAGAUGGGGACAACAGCUGGAAACGGCUGCUAAUACCGAAUACGUUCUUUCUGUCGCAUGGCAGAGGGAAGAAAGGGAGGCUCUUCGGAGCUUUCGCUGGAGGAGGGGCUUGCGUCUGAUUAGCUAGUUGGAGGGGUAACGGCCCACCAAGGCGACGAUCAGUAGCCGGUCUGAGAGGAUGAACGGCCACAUUGGGACUGAGACACGGCCCAGACUCCUACGGGAGGCAGCAGUGGGGAAUCUUCCGCAAUGGACGAAAGUCUGACGGAGCAACGCCGCGUGAACGAUGACGGCCUUCGGGUU
rnacentral:rRNA from 1 species